AGCUUACCGAGCUGGUGUAAGAGCUGGCUUUGUCCUACUGACGCGUCUUCGCCUAACUGGGCCCCAGCUUAAAUCCGGUUUCUUGGAAGGCAGGUUCACGUGCAAAGGCUAUUUCAGGAGCGCUUUCUAUACAAAGCAGUAUCUCUUGCAAAGUUUCAGGUACUUUAGUCUUAUGAAAUUCUGCCAUAAAUUUUUUGAGCACUUGGGGAAACUAAGGCUUAGAAUGAAGUCAUUUGCGGUCAAGAAUUGUUUUCUUGUUUUUACUUUAAAUGGAACUUGACUUUUUUAUUUCUUUCAGAAACACUUUUGACUUCCUUGUGUGAGACGCAAGUCCUUUUCAUGGCAUGGGUUCAUAACCUCUUCUUGAGCCAAGAUCAGCAAAGAACAUCUAUAUAAAUAAAUACCCUUCUAUCAGAGGUCUAGGUGAAAGCAGCUCACAAGGAACAUAGCAACAUCUACAUGCGGGAAGCAGCUAAGAACUGAGAUCUUUGCAAACAGAGAUGUGCAUGUGGUGAUAUUUGAAAGUCUUGAAACUUCCUGCCUCAACUGGAAGAGAACAGAAACAAAUAGAAAAAUAAAGGUGGAAAAUGCAUCAGUAUCUAUGGGAAGCAAGUUUCAGAGAGUCAGCACAGCUGCACCUGAAACUCGUUUUUGCCUCACCUACACGAACGCACACUUGAUGUGCCUCAGCUCUCACCCAGCUGAGAAGUCAAGCACCACAGGAUUUAUCUUACCGACCGCAAGAAGAAAACGAUACUCAGACCCUGCCUGUGUGGGCUGAAUGUUUCAAGAGAAAUUUAUCAAGUACGUUUGAGUAAUGAAUACAUCCGAGGAAGCCAUAAUAUAGUGAGCAGGAAAAAAAAAUUACAAGUUUUAAAUGCAUUAAAUAAAUUAUCUGCAGCAAAUUAGUUGCUCAGCUUUCCUUCAGUGGGAUUUGUAUACACUGGCACAUUAAGCUACCAAGCUCAUUUACAAAUACCAUCCCAGGCUGCCUCUGCCCUCUGCAUCCGACUUCUCCCAGAACUGGGGGUGAGUGUUGCUGUCAUUUCACCUGACAGCUUUACUCAUAUCAUAGACACCACCACCCAGCAAUAAAGCCCAAUAAUGAAAAGGCAUUACCACCUAUAAAGGUACCCUGCUGCAGGCUGUUCACAUACUUGCCAAAUGGUACUUUAAUUGUGAUGAUGACCAAUUUGGAGAUAAUUGCUUCUGCAUCUCCUGCUGUUUCUGACAGUCCAAUGGACUCUUUAAUUAACUGGUUGGAUUAGCUCUCAGCACAGCAGAGGGGAGCUGUGUGCGUUUACCGUCUGUAGGCCCACGACCAGAAUAAGAUGCUCCAGCAUUAUUCUGGGAUCUCGGCAAGAGCUGGGCAGAAAACACCAAGGGGAUGCAGUGGCUGUUUGUAAUCUUCCUGCUUUCAUUCCCUGCGGAGCUAUCCUCCACGCCAACUUGUACAAUUUAUUAAGGAAGCAAAGCCAAAAAAUUGCUGGUCUUUGGCUUCUGCAACUGUAAUGAAAAACAGUCACUGUUUUCAAGGAGCCUGAGGUCCCUGCUUAGUCCUCUCCUGAUAAGCAAGCCCCCUGCAUCCAUCUCUGUCCCCUGGGAUCAUGCCUGUCUUGCUGAAAAGCAGAAAGCAGUG